rnacentral:tRNA from 1 species
GGUCCAGGGAUGGGAAUCGAACCCACAAUGUUCCGUUUACCGGGCAGAUGCCUAGUCCACUAGGCUAGCCUGGAC